GAAGAAACAGCACUAUGAGGAGAAGCUUGACGAAGCAAAUCAGCACCAACAGACUCCUCGCAACCUUUAUUGACAUCAUUAAUCUUCUUGCUAGAACCGCGGUGAUUGUAAAUCUCACCAGAAAGACCCAAGCUAAGUGAAGGCCCAAAACAUGGCUUAUACAUCAUCUUGGGCUUAUGAUUAUUGUUAUUAUCAGGCUUUUCCAGGGAGGUUGAUGAAGAGAAACCUAACCCUAGAACAAGGCCAGUGUUGCAUCCGUCAUCAGGACAACCCAUGAGCUGAAGGAGGAGGAGAAGAAGAUAUGAAAAUGAAUGGAGACGUGAUUUGAGAAAUAUGAGGGAGCAAAAGGGUCUUUAAGAAGGGGAAGAGAAUGAGUUAGACUUUUUAUCUUGGGUGGGUGGGCGGAUUGCUAUAAUUGUU
rnacentral:misc_RNA from 1 species